UACGAAGGGGGCUAGCGUUGCUCGGAAUCACUGGGCGUAAAGCGCACGUAGGCGGCUUUCUAAGUCAGAGGUGAAAUCCUGGAGCUCAACUCCAGAACUGCCUUUGAUACUGGAAAGCUUGAGUUCGGGAGAGGUGAGUGGAACUGCGAGUGUAGAGGUGAAAUUCGUAGAUAUUCGCAAGAACACCAGUGGCGAAGGCGGCUCACUGGCCCGAGACUGACGCUGAGGCGCGAAAGCGUGGGGAGCAAACAGG
rnacentral:rRNA from 1 species